rnacentral:rRNA from 1 species
GACGAACGCUGGCGGCGUGCUUAACACAUGCAAGUCGAACGGCAAGGCCCUGCUUUUGUGGGGUGCUCGAGUGGCGAACGGGUGAGUAACACGUGAGUAACCUGCCCUUGACUUUGGGAUAACUUCAGGAAACUGGGGCUAAUACCGGAUAGGAGCUCCUGCUGCAUGGUGGGGGUUGGAAAGUUUCGGCGGUUGGGGAUGGACUCGCGGCUUAUCAGAUAGUUGGUGGGGUAGUGGCCUACCCAGGCGUGGAUCGGUAGCUGGCCUGAGAGGGUGACCGGCCACACUGGAACAGAGACAGGGUCCAGAGUCCUACGGGAGGCAGCAGUGGGGAAUAUUGGACAAUGGGCGGAAGCCUGAUCCAGCCAUACCGCGUGGGUGAAGAAGGCCUUCGGGUUGUAAAGCCGUUUUGUUGGGAAAGAAAAGCAGCAGGUUAAUACCCCGCUGUUCUGACGGUACCCAAAGAAUAAGCACCGGCUAACUUCGUG